rnacentral:rRNA from 1 species
AGUGAAUAGAUACCCUGGUAGUCCCAGCCGUAAACGAUGCUCGCUAGGUGUCAGGCAUGGCGCGACCGUGUCUGGUGCCGCAGGGAAGCCGUGAAGCGAGCCACCUGGGAAGUACGGCCGCAAGGCUGAGACUUAAAGGAAUUGGCGGGGAGCACAACAAACGGGUGGAGCCUGCGGUUUAAUUUGGUACUCAACGCCGGACAACUCACCGGGGGCGGACAGCAAUAUGUAGGCCAGGCUGAAGACCUUGCCUGAAUCGCUGAGAGGAGGUGCAUGGCCGUCGCCAGUUCGUACUGUGAAGCAUCCUGUUUAAGUUCAGGCAACGAGCGAGACCCGUGCCCACUGUUACCAGCAUGUCCUCCGGGACGAUGGGUACUCUGUGGGGACCGCCGAUGUUAAAUCGGAGGAAGGUGCGGGCCACGGUAGGUCAGUAUGCCCCGGAAUCUCCCGGGGCUACACGCGGGCUACAAUGGAUGGGACAAUGGGUCCU